rnacentral:rRNA from 1 species
CAUGCAAGUCGAGGGGCAGCAUGGUCUUAGCUUGCUAAGACUGAUGGCGACCGGCGCACGGGUGCGUAACGCGUAUGCAACUUGCCUCACAGAGGGGGAUAACCCGUCGAAAGACGGACUAAUACCGCGUACACUCCACUUUGGGCAUCCAAAGUAGAGGAAAUGAAUUUCGCUGUGAGAUAGGCAUGCGUCCCAUUAGCUAGUUGGUGAGGUAACGGCUCACCAAGGCAACGAUGGGUAGGGGAACUGAGAGGUUGAACCCCCACACUGGUACUGAGACACGGACCAGACUCCUACGGGAGGCAGCAGUGAGGAAUAUUGGUCAAUGGGCGGGAGCCUGAACCAGCCAAGUCGCGUGAAGGAUGACUGUCUUAUGGAUUGUAAACUUCUUUUAUACGGGAAUAACAAGAGUCACGUGUGGCUCCCUGCAUGUACCGUAUGAAUAAGCAUCGGCUAACUCCGUGCCAGCAGCCGCGGUAAUACGGAGGAUGCGAGCGUUAUCCGGAUUUAUUGGGUUUAAAGGGUGCGUAGGCGGCCUGUUAAGUCAGCGGUGAAAUCUAGGAGCUUAACUCCUAAAUUGCCAUUGAUACUGGCGGGCUUGAGUGUAGAUGAGGUAGGCGGAAUGCGUGGUGUAGCGGUGGAAUGCAUAGAUAUCACGCAGAACUCCGAUUGCGAAGGCAGCUUACUAAGGUACAACUGACGCUGAAGCACGAAAGCGUGGGUAUCAAACAGGAUUAGAUACCCUGGUAGUCCACGCAGUAAACGAUGAUAACUGGGCGUAUGCGAUAUACAGUAUGCUCCUAAGCGA